rnacentral:lncRNA from 10 species
UCGAGAUCGUGCCAUUGCACUCCAGCCUGGGUGACAAGAGUGAAACUCUCUCUCAAAAAAAAAAAAAAAAAGAGAGAGAGAAAAGAAAACCUUUUUCCAGAAGUUCCCACAGUAGUUCUCUGCUUAGGUCCUGUGGAUCACUCUUAGUUGCAAUGAAGGCAGGGAACCCUGGAGGCUGGAUUGUCCUGAUAGGGCUUAGACUACUCAUGGUCCAUCGCCUGGGGGUUCUGGUAGUCAAGAGGAAGGGGACAUGCAUGUUAGGUGGCCACCCAUAAUUUCACCAAAAAAAAUGUGUGUGGGUUUUUUUGUUUUUUGUUUGUUUUUGAGACAAGGUCUCACUCUGUCACCCAGGCUGGAGUGCAAUGUCACAGUCACAGCUCACUGUAGCAUCCACCUCCCAGGCUCAGGUGAUCCUCCUGCCUCAGCCUUCCAAGUAGCUGGGGCCACAGCCAUAUACCAUCUGGAACAGUCUCUGGCACAUGUUCAAUAAAUGUUGGCUGUAACUGCUGCUCUCCUCCAAGAGCUUGGUGAGACACUGUAGCUUCCUCUCUGGAGCUGAGAGAGACGUGCAUGGCGGGGCGGGGGCUGUAGAGAAGGAAGUCUUCCAUCGUUACAAUGAGGAUGGGGGAGAGCGGGGUAGAGAGACAGGGAACAGCUUCCAGAGAAGGAAGAUGGGUUUGGCAGGCAAGACAAUAGGUGUCCACUUCUAGGGAGGUGUGAACAAGGUAUCAAUCAACCACUAUGUAGUGAGUACCUGCUGUGUUCAAAGCAAUGCGUGAA